GACGAACGCUGGCGGCGUGCUUAACACAUGCAAGUCGAACGGGGCGAAGUGAUAGCUUGCUAUUAUGGAGCCUAGUGGCAAACGGGUGAGUAACGCGUAGGCAACCUGCCCUUCAGAUGGGGACAACACCUCGAAAGGGGUGCUAAUACCGAAUGACGUUUCCUGGUCGCAUGACCUGGAAACCAAAGGCCGGGCAACCGGUCACUGAAGGAUGGGCCUGCGUCUGAUUAGCUAGUUGGUGGGUAACGGCGUCACCAAGGCGACGAUCAGUAGCCGGUCUGAGAGGUCGAUCGGCACAUUGGGACUGAGACACGGCCCAGACUCCUACGGGAGGCAGCAGU
rnacentral:rRNA from 1 species